AAGGCGGGAACUGCCGAAGAUUUACGAGACUUGUCGACUCAUCGUUCGAUGUAUCGUUCGAUGGACCACGUGCCAUCUAUGAUUAUAUUGUUAUAGGUCACUAUAGCGGUAUAGCGAGGUUGCAGUUGUUAGCAUUUGACAGUUGUUUUUGAUCAACCGCAGUGAACGCUACGUGCCUGAACAUCAUGUUAAAGACUGUAUUAUGCGGCAUCUAUACAACAAGCGGAAUUGCCUUGAUAUUUCUCUUUGUGAUGCUUUGUGCCUUGAGCGAGAGAGUGAGAUAUCGAGCGAAGUUCAUCUUCUUCAUAGUAGCGAGCGCACUAGCUGCAGGAUUAUGGAUACCAUUCAUGCUGUUUCGAAUCGGUAGCUGGAAAAAUGCACUAAUGCCAGCCAGAUGUGUAGUAAGAGUUGCGAAGAUCAUUGGAAUCAAAUUUCGUUUUCGUGGUAAAGAGAACAUCCUCAAAGAUUCGGGCUGUGUCGUGCUUAUCAAUCAUCAGAGUUCCCUAGAUCUUUGUGUUUUAGGUGAAUUAUGGUUAGCGAUGGAGAAUUGCACUGUUAUUUCUAAAAAAGAGAUUAUGUACCUUGGACCAUUCGGUCUCGCGACUUGGCUUUGGGGAACAGUAUUUAUCGACAGAAAAAACGUUGAAGAAGCUCAACGAAUUAUUAACGCUACAGCGGAAUCUAUUCGUUUGGCAAAGCGGAGACUUCUUCUAUUUCCCGAAGGACAUCGGCAUUCGGGUAAUUCGUUACUUCCUUUCAAAAAAGGCGCUUUUCAUGUCGCGAUUGAAUCUCAAAUGCCAAUUCAACCCGUCGUUGUGUCAAAAUAUUACUUCUUAGAUGGAAAAUUAAAGAGGUUUUAUUCAGGAACUAGUUAUAUUACAGUUCUACCGCCUAUUCCUACCGCGGGUUUGACCAAAGACGAUCUUCCAAAGCUUAUGGAGCAAGUGUAUGAAAUUAUGAAUAAAACUUUCGUGGAAUCUACUACGGAAUGCCUCGAAGAACAAAUCCAAACUUUAAAGUAAAAAUUUAAUUUAUAUUAUUGAGGUUCUCUCUUUAUUUCUAAGUUCUAUCGUGCAAAACACAUGACAUAUAUUUCCAAUAGAUAUGCAAAAUUGUAGCAUCUCUUGUAAAAUCAUGCGUGUUUUAGAUGAAAAAUGAGGAUAAUUAAUAAAAAAAGACAUGGGAUUUUUAUACUUGUCAGCGGAGAUGUAAUUACAAUGAAAUGGACAAGAUGCUUUUACGGACUUCCAAAUUCGCCAGUCAGUUUGGUCACAUGUUUGACUCAAAGAUUCUUUCAAGUCAAAUUAUUUUCGAUGAUGAAACGUCCAUCUCGAUAA